UAGGACUCUCGGCAAUGGAUAUCUUGGCUCUCGCAUCGAUGAAGAGCGCAGCGAAAUGCGAUACGUGGUGCGAAUUGCAGAAUCCCGUGAACCAUCGAGUUUUUGAACGCAAGUUGCGCCCGAGGCCAGCUGGCCAAGGGCACGUCCGCCUGGGCGUCAAACGUUGAUUCGCUCCC
rnacentral:rRNA from 5 species